rnacentral:rRNA from 1 species
CGUGCUUAACACAUGCAAGUCGAGCGAUGAAGCUCCUUCGGGAGUGGAUUAGCGGCGGACGGGUGAGUAACACGUGGGUAACCUGCCUCAUAGAGGGGAAUAGCCUUUCGAAAGGAAGAUUAAUACCGCAUAAGAUUGUAGUACCGCAUGGUACAGCAAUUAAAGGAGUAAUCCGCUAUGAGAUGGACCCGCGUCGCAUUAGCUAGUUGGUGAGGUAACGGCUCACCAAGGCGACGAUGCGUAGCCGACCUGAGAGGGUGAUCGGCCACAUUGGGACUGAGACACGGCCCAGACUCCUACGGGAGGCAGCAGUGGGGAAUAUUGCACAAUGGGGGAAACCCUGAUGCAGCAACGCCGCGUGAGUGAUGACGGCCUUCGGGUUGUAAAACUCUGUCUUUGGGGACGAUAAUGACGGUACCCAAGGAGGAAGCCACGGCUAACUACGUGCCAGCAGCGGC